AUUGAACGCUGGCGGCAGGCUUAACACAUGCAAGUCGAACGCCCCGCAAGGGGAGUGGCAGACGGGUGAGUAACACGUGGGAACGCACCCCUUGGUUCGGAAUAACUUGGGGAAACUCAAGCUAAUACCGGAUAAGCCCUUAUGGGGAAAGGUUUACUGCCGAAGGAUCGGCCCGCGUCUGAUUAGCUAGUUGGUGAGGUAAUGGCUCACCAAGGCGACGAUCAGUAGCUGGUCUGAGAGGAUGAUCAGCCACACUGGGACUGAGACACGGCCCAGACUCCUACGGGAGGCAGCAGUGGGGAAUAUUGGACAAUGGGGGCAACCCUGAUCCAGCCAUGCCGCGUGAGUGAUGAAGGCCUUAGGGUUGUAAAGCUCUUUUACCCGGGACGAUAAUGACUGUACCGGGAGAAUAAGCCCCGGCUAACUUCGUGCCAGCAGCCGCCGUAA
rnacentral:rRNA from 1 species